rnacentral:rRNA from 1 species
AGAACGAACGCUGGCGGCAUGCCUAACACAUGCAAGUCGAACGAGACCUUCGGGUCUAGUGGCGCACGGGUGCGUAACGCGUGGGAACCUGCCUUUAGGUUCGGAAUAACUCAGAGAAAUUUGAGCUAAAUACCGGAUAAUGUCUUCGGACCAAAGAUUUAUCGCCUUUAGAUGGGCCCGCGUAGGAUUAGCUAGUUGGUGGGGUAAAGGCCUACCAAGGCGACGAUCCUUAGCUGGUCUGAGAGGAUGAUCAGCCACACUGGGACUGAGACACGGCCCAGACUCCUACGGGAGGCAGCAGUGGGGAAUAUUGGACAAUGGGCGAAAGCCUGAUCCAGCAAUGCCGCGUGAGUGAUGAAGGCCUUAGGGUUGUAAAGCUCUUUACCAGGGAUGAUAAUGACAGUACCUGGAGAAUAAGCUCCGGCUAACUCCGUGCCAGCAGCCGC